ensembl:lncRNA
AUGUCCUUCCUGAAAGAGAUCAGCCUGUUAAUGAAGAACUAUUAUCUAUCGGGGAAUGAUGUUUUAUCGAGACGCGCAGAACAGAUCACAGCUGAAAUACAACAGGGUGAGAGAAGAAACUAUAAUGAGGUGCUUGAUUUGUCUUCUGGAGAUCUGCACAGAGGAGGAAUAAAACCAUCACUUUUGUUCAUCAAGGGGGGGAAAGCUUUAUUUAUAUCAGUCAGACAACAGAAAUAACACAUUGAAAAAAUAUGAUUAAAAGUAUUUUUUACAUAAAAAACUAUUAUUGAUCAUGAUUAAUAAUAAUAAUAAUAAUAUCAAUAAUAUAUAUGAACUAAAUUAGUGAUUUCCAUCAACACAAACAGAGGUUGAGAAAACCACAGAAACAGUGUCACUCAGCAGAACUCUCUCUCUCUCUCUCUCUCUCUCACACACACACACACACACACACACACUUAUCUUACUAUCUAUAUGAGGAUUUGUUACACAUUUAUUCUGACAUUAUUUCACUGACAGAAGUUCAGCUGCAGUAUAAAUGUCAUGAAGAGACUCUAUAAUAUCUCACUGUUACUGAUUCAUCAUGCAGUUCAAAGCAUUAUGGGUAGAAUCUCUCAUCAGUCUAUUCUGAUUCUUUAACACAGUUUAACUGAUCCAGACCAAACAUAAAACCCAGGAUAGAGCGGCUGAGUGAAUGUGGUCUGGACUGUGUGGAUGAGGCUCAUUGUGUCAGAGACGCUGUAGAAGGACAGAGUUCCUGCACUGUGAUCCACAAACACUCCUAUUCUACUGCUGAUGGGUGUCACAGAGAGAACAGUCUUUAUCUUAUUGUGUCUGAAUGAGUAACUGGAGGAAGAGCAGCACAAACUCCAUGACUGAUCAUUAGAUCCAAACACACACUCAUCACCCAAUCCCUUCCUGCUGAUGCUCUUAUAUGACACUGAUAUACGCACACCAUUAUCUCCACUCCACUUAAUCUCCCAGUAACAGCGUCCACACACACUCUCUCUACACAACACCUGAUACACAUCAAAUCUGUCUGGAUGAUCAGGAUACGACUGAACUCUGAGAGUGUUAGUAAUCACUCUGUUGCUCUCAGACAGACGGAGGUAUUGAUUCACUGUGUUCAGAUCCAGAGUGAGCUGACGGGAAUCUGAUGG